AUGUAGCAUGCGCGUUCCGGUCUCCUUGAGUGAAAAGGGAAUCCAGUGAAAAGCUGGAGCUGACGCGCAGCGGUAAAGACAGGCGGGAUGAUAGCGAUUCGCAGACACUGCUUAUAUAAGCGGGAAGUCAUCGUCCACUUUACGCCUCCAAGCCCGAAGACCUGCCGGAAACACGUCGCACUCU
rnacentral:ncRNA from 16 species